UCAAGCUACAAAGGGCAUAUGGUGGAUGCCUUGGCGCCAUGAGCCGAAGAAGGACGCGAUAAGCUGCGAUAAGCCGCGGGGAACUGCAAAUAAGUAUAGAUCCGCGGAUUUCCGAAUGGGGAAACCCGGCAGUCGUAAUGGGCUGUCACCCGAGAGGGAGGGAACCCGGUGAACUGAAACAUCUAAGUAACCGGAGGAAGAGAAAUCAAACGAGAUGCCCGUAGUAGCGGCGAGCGAAGGGGGCAUAGCCCAAACCGUGGGCCUUCGGGCCUGCGGGGUUGUGGACCGGCGUAAACGGACGAGUUGCUAGUAGAAUUACCUGGAAAGGUAAGCGAGAGAGGGUAAAAGCCCCGUAUACGAAAGCGACGAGGACGCGGCCGGGAUCCAGAGUACCACGGAGCACGAGGAAUUCUGUGGGAAGCAGGGGGGACCACCCUCCAAGGCUAAACACUCCAUGGCGACCGAUAGCGCAGAGUACCAUGAGGGAAAGGUGAAAAGAACCCCGGGAGGGGAGUGAAAGAGAACCUGAAACCGUAUGUCUACAAGCAGUCGGAGCGAAAGCGACGGCGUGCCUAUUGAAGAAUGAGCCAACGAGUUACGUGCGCCAGCGAGGUUAAGCAGAAGAUGCGGAGCCGCAGGGAAACCGAGUCUGAAGAGGGCGAGGAGUUGGUGUACGUAGACCCGAAACUGCAGUGAUCUACGCAUGGCCAGAUUGAAACGCAGGUAAAAUUGCGCGGAGGAUCGAACCGGGACAUGUUGAAAAAUGUUCGGAUGAGCUGUGCGUAGGGGUGAAAUUCCAAUCGAACGCAGAGAUAGCUGGUUCUCCUCGAAAUAGCUUUAGGGCUAGCCUCAGGCAGUAAGCGCAGGCGGUAGAGCACUGAUCGGGAUAGGGGCCGUAAUGGCUACCGAACCCUGUCAAACUCCGAAUGGCAGCGCUGCAGAGCCUGGGAGUCAGACUACGAGUGAUAAGAUCCGUGGUCAAAAGGGAAACAGCCCAGACCAUCAGCUAAGGUCCCCAAUGCCGUACUAAGUGGAAAAGGAUGUGGGGUUUCAUAAACAACCAGGAUGUUGGCUCAGAAGCAGCCACCAUUUAAAGAGUGCGUAAUAGCUCACUGGUCGAGAGACCCUGCGCCGAAGAUUCCCGGGGCUAAAGUACGGAACCGAAGCUAUGGAUGCAUCCCUCGGGAUGCGUGGUAGAGGAGCGUUCCCAUCGGGCAGAAGUCGUUCUGGAAGGAACGGUGGACUGGUGGGAAGUGAGAAUGUUGGCAUGAGUAGCGAAAAGAAUGGUGAGAAUCCAUUCCACCGAAAACACAAGGAUUCCUGAGCAACGAUCGUCGUCUCAGGGUAAGUCGGGACCUAAUCCGAGGCAUGGAGCGUAGGAGAUGGACAUCCGGUUGAAAUUCCGGAACCGGCAGGAAUCGUCAAGAGCAAGGGAGUGACACAGGAAGGCAGGCGCGCAUGAGAUUGGAAGUUCAUGUGCAAGCGUGCGACGCGCGGGACAGGCAAACCCAUCCCGCACAAGCGCCAGGCGUGACGCGGAGGGAACCGCGAGGGACCCGAAGGCGCUGGGCCUACACUGUCGAGAAAAGCUUCUAGCAAGAGACCUGCCGCCCGUACCGUAAACCGACACAGGUGUGUGGGGAGAGAAUCCUAAGGUGCGCGGGAGAACCCUCGUUAAGGAACUCGGCAAAAUGUACCCGUAACUUCGGGAUAAGGGUAGCCGUCGGGCGUGAAGGGACCAGCUCCUGGAGCGCCGGAUGGCCGCAGAGAAGAGGCCCAAGCGACUGUUUACCAAAAACUUAGGUGCCUGCCAAAGCGAAAGCUGACGUAUAGGUGCUGACACCUGCCCAGUGCCGGAAGGUUAAGGAAGGAGGUCCGGGUUCGACCCAAAGCCUUCGACCGAAGCCCCGGUGAACGGCGGCCGUAACUAUAACGGUCCUAAGGUAGCGAAAUUCCUUGUCGGGUAAG
rnacentral:rRNA from 1 species